GACGAACGCUGGCGGCGUGCCUAAUACAUGCAAGUUGAGCGCUGAAGGUUGGUACUUGUACCGACUGGAUGAGCAGCGAACGGGUGAGUAACGCGUGGGGAAUCUGCCUUUGAGCGGGGGACAACAUUGGGAAACGAAUGCUAAUACCGCAUAAAAACUUUAAACACAAGUUUUAAGUUUGAAAGAUGCAAUUGCAUCACUCAAAGAUGAUCCCGCGUUGUAUUAGCUAGUUGGUGAGGUAAAGGCUCACCAAGGCGAUGAUACAUAGCCGACCUGAGAGGGUGAUCGGCCACAUUGGGACUGAGACACGGCCCAAACUCCUACGGGAGGCAGCAGUAGGGAAUCUUCGGCCAUGGACGGAAGUCUGACCGAGCAACGCCGCGUGAGUGAAGAAGGUUUUCGGAUCGUAAAACUCUGUUGGUAGAGAAGAACGUUGGUGAGAGUGGAAAGCUCAUCAAGUGACGGUAACUACCCAGAAAGGGACGGCUAACUACGUG
rnacentral:rRNA from 1 species